UGCCUUCGCAAACACACAGAUCUUUCCUGAGGUUGCAAGUCGCAUCACUUUAAAGGCUGACUUUCUUCAAACUUCCAGGAACUGAGUGGCUCCGGGCCCAUCUAUUUAAAGGUCAGGCUAGCCUUGCUGUAUUUGGAGGGCUGCCUCGGACACAAGCUUAUUCUCAGGCCUGUUCCACAGUCACCACAGCCAGGCAGGCUAUGAGAAGCAGUGUGUCCCUUCAAAGGAUGCAGAAGGCAUUGCCAGACACAGAGGUCCAUCUGCAGAGGCAUGGUCAACAAAACAUGUGAUGUCCACAGAGGGAACAUUAUUCAGCCGUGAAAAAGAGUAAAGGACUAGAAGAUGCUACUUGAAGAACCUUGAAAGAGUCACGAGAACGAAAGAAGCCAGUCACAGCAGAAUGUGUCACAUGAUCCUGUUAAGAAGACAUUUUCAGAACAGACACAUCCACUGUGACAGGAAGUGGAUCCGUGAUUUCCUAGGACUCAGGAAACUGGGUGGAGCGGGGUGAGGGGGUCAGGAAGAGGAGAUGAGGAGACUAGUAGUGAGUAUGAAGUUUCUCUUGUAAUGGAUGAAAAUGUUCUAAAAUGGAUUGUGGUAACAACUUCAAGUUCCAUGACUAGAUGAAAAGCAUCCUAUUGUGUGGAUGAAUUGGGGUGUGUACGAGUUACAUCUAAAUAAAACUUCCAUAUUUAAAAAUGAA